UUUACGAAGACUGUUUAGGUUUAAGCUAAGUAGCUUAAAUUAAAUGAUUCAAAGUUCAUCUUCAAAUAAUUCUCUUGGUUACGUGCAUUAUUAUUGUCAUUUUCCUCCAAAAAGCUCACUCCACAAAUUUUCCUGGUCCUUUCUUCUCACUAAUUACAUAUACCACUCACAUAUCAAUUAUUUAAACAUGUUAACCCCUUUCUAAUUUAUCUGCAAACAUAAAAAGAGUUAAAGAAAAUGAACGGAUUGAUUCACUAUAUACGUUUUUUUUUUCUAAGAGUCAAUUUCAAAUUACUUCCCUCAUAAAAUAAUAAUUUUUAAAAUAUUUCUUAAAUUAUUGUGAACUUUAACUUAUUCAAUUUUUAUUAUGAGAUUGUGUUAAUAAAAAAAAUUGAUGUUCUUUAUAAAAUAAAGAUAAAUUGAGGUUUAUAAUUUGAGAAUAUUUU
rnacentral:lncRNA from 1 species